rnacentral:lncRNA from 1 species
CGAAAAUUAUGUAAAGUGAAUUUUUUGGAAGAAUGAAUAUCAUAGUUUUCUAGUUAAGUUCUUGUAGAAUGUUCUAGUGUAGUGUCUUGAACAAGUAACUUGUAGAAUUAUCUAGAUAUUCUAGAGUAGCGGUAAAAGAUAAAGUUCACUAGAUUUUUCUUGUAGAAUUAUCUGAAAGAUUUUCUUGAACCAUCCAUGAACAAGUAUAAAUAGAGAUGGUCUUAUACAUUUGUAACCAACCAAAAAAAUAAAAACCAAUUCAAGUAGUAUUCUCCAUAUUUAAGUUCUUGCUUCUCUUUUAUAGCUUCCUCUUUUUAGUUGAAUCUUUCGAUCUUAGUUAAUGAUCUUUGGCUCACAGAAGAUCUCUCCAAUUACAUAUUUCUUUUGCUAUUUUCUAUAGAAAGGACCAAACACGACUGAGCUUUCUUCACUUUGGAUUUAUUAUAUCGGUCUCAAUCAUAUACUUUAGACUCCAAUGAUCAUGUAUACACUUGUAUGACCAAUAUGCCCAUCCAAAGGUUGCUCUUCCAUACACAUCUAACUGUGCUUUCUCGAAGUUCUGAUGAUGUUAGUUUGAUUUAGGCUCUUUUGCAAACUCGUUAACACAUUCUCCUGUAGUUCAUUUGAUAUAUUAUUAGAAGAACAUGGAAGUAUAAUAAUCUUUGCAUUAACGAUUCUUGAACUAAACUAUGGGACUCACCAACAAAGGUUAAGGGUUCAUUAGAUUGGGUAAUUUCUCCAAGUGUUGAUGCACGUUGGUUUUGUAUGUAGUCUAUGUCUUGUUGUACAUUAAAUUGUUUAAACUUGUCUGGGUAGAGAUUGUAGUAAUGGACGUCUAUGACUGAGCGAGGAAGGCAUUGAGAAAAUGAAAGCAGCUGUAUGUUCUUUGCAUAGCCCAAUCAAAUUCGAGAAGAUCACGUAGGCUGUACUAGGAUACUUCCUCACUAUAUUGUAACCAGCUUGGUAGUACUUGUAACUUGAUUAGAUUAUUCAAUGGAACAUGUUCUGCUCGAGGCUCAUUCAUCGGUUCCAUGGCUACAAGGCCUGUCCUAUUAGCAUACUUGAAAUUUUAUUUGUCAAUCGACUGUUAUUUGGCUAACUAAUUUUGAUUUUAAAAUUUUCUCAAAAUGUAUAUCGAUGGUUUUUUUAUAAACUUUUCGUUAAGAAGUCUUAUGACUUUAACUGUUUCUUUAAUUUUGGAAUCUCCCCACUCGGCAGAUCCAUCUCUAGUUCCGCUAUGGUCAUUCUCAUUUUGUGAUCCUGGAACUUCAUGAAGGUCUAUUAUGACCUUUAUAUUGCAUUUCUUGCAAGAUGUUUUUUUAAUAAAUUUAGAGCUUUGCAUGUUUAGCAGAAACGAUACCUAAUGACCUUGAAAUAGGCGAUCUUGAAUUUUUGACUCCCACUUGUCCGACUAGAGGUGAUUGCUCAAUGAUAAGCACCCUCCGCCUCCAACCUUAAGAUUGUGGGUUUAAAUCAACAAGGGAGCAAAAAGGUGGGAUCCUUCUAUGUGUAGAGAAUAGCAAAAGAAAGGUGUAAUUGGGGAAACCUUCUACUAGCCCAAAAUCGUUAACUAAGAUUAGAAGAUUCAACUAAAGAAGAGGAAAGUAUGAAAGAGAAGUUUUGUUAUGGAAGAAGAUUACUUGUAUUUGCUUUGUAUUGAAUUUGUUUUUGGUUGGUUACAAAUGUACAAGACCAUCCCUAUUUAUACUAAUCUAUGGAUGAUUCUAGAAAUUCUUCUAGAUACAUCUACAAGAAUAU